rnacentral:rRNA from 1 species
GACGUAGGGCGCAAGCGUUGUCCGGAUUUAUUGGGCGUAAAGAGCUCGUAGGCGGCUUGUCACGUCGGAUGUGAAAGCCCGAGGCUUAACCUCGGGUCUGCAUUCGAUACGGGCUAGCUAGAGUGUGGUAGGGGAGAUCGGAAUUCCUGGUGUAGCGGUGAAAUGCGCAGAUAUCAGGAGGAACACCGGUGGCGAAGGCGGAUCUCUGGGCCAUUACUGACGCUGAGGAGCGAAAGCGUGGGGAGCGAACAGG